rnacentral:rRNA from 1 species
GCAGUAGCCGCGGGAAUACGGAGGGUGCAAGCGUUAAUCGGAAUUACUGGGCGUAAAGCGCACGCAGGCGGUCUGUCAAGUCAGAUGUGAAAUCCCCGGGCUUAACCUGGGAACUGCAUUUGAAACUGGCAGGCUAGAGUCUUGUAGAGGGGGGUAGAAUUCCAGGUGUAGCGGUGAAAUGCGUAGAGAUCUGGAGGAAUACCGGUGGCGAAGGCGGCCCCCUGGACAAAGACUGACGCUCAGGUGCGAAAGCGUGGGGAGCAAACAGGAUUAGAUACCCGAGUAGUCCCUGUCUCUUAUAC